UACGUAUGGAGCAAGCGUUAUCCGGAUUUACUGGGUGUAAAGGGUGCGUAGGCGGCACAGCAAGUCAGAUGUGAAAGACCGGGGUUCAACCCCGGGGCUGCAUUUGAAACUGCCGAGCUUGAGUCCGGGAGAGGCAGGCGGAAUUCCUAGUGUAGCGGUGAAAUGCGUAGAUAUUAGGAGGAACACCAGUGGCGAAGGCGGCCUGCUGGACCGGAACUGACGCUGAGGCACGAAAGCGUGGGGAGCAAACAGG
rnacentral:rRNA from 1 species